rnacentral:rRNA from 1 species
AUAUAUAUAGGCGAGGUAAAUGUUUAUGAUAAUUAUGGUACUUUAGAAGAAUAUUCAUAAUAAGUAGGGUGUGAACUGAAAGAUUGGUCGGAGGAGGGGAAGCCGGGAUUUGGGGGGCCGGGGAUGCGUCUUGGUCGGAUGCGGAACGGGGCAUUCCGGUCCGCCGAUCGAUUUGGGGCGUGGACCGACGCGGAUUAAGGUGGUUGCCUAAGCCCGGGCUUUUGUUACUCCCGCGGAGAUGUCGCCGUUUGUUGAGGCCCGGGUUAUCAGUGUGUCUGCAGCAGGUAGCGAGUGUAGCGGGGACGGUGGGCACGCCUCCGGGCGUGCCUCGGCAUCUGCGGGGUCAGGGCGUCGGCCUGUGAGCUCCCCAUUCGACCCGUUAGUGAAACAUGGACCAAGGAGUCUGACAUUUGUGCGAGUCAACGGGUGAAUAAACCCGUAAGGCGCAAGGAAGCUAAUUGGCUGGAUCCCUCACUGGGGUGCACAGCCGACCGGCCUUGAUCUUCUGAGAACGGUUCGAGUGUGAGCAUGCCUGUCGGGACCCGAAAUAUGUUGAACUAUGCCUGAGCGGGCGGAAGCCAGAGGAAACUCUGGUGGAAGCCCGCAGCGAUACUGAGGACGUGCAAUUCGGCAGAUCGUGCUAUAGAGUUUGGUCUGACUUGGGUAUAGGGGCAAAAGACUAAUCGAACCAUCUAGUAACUGGUUCCUCCGAAAGUUUCCAUCAUGGAAAGGGAGGAAGGGGAGGAGGAAAAAGGGGGGGGAGGGGGGGAGAGAGGCUCAGGAUAGCUGAAGGUUUCCCUCAGGAUAGCUGGAGCUCGAAAACGAGUUCUAUCGGGUAAAGACCAUGAUUAGAGGCAUCGGGAUGCAAUGUCCUCGGAGCCCUAUAUAAUUUAGAUAGGUGUGAUGGGGUGGCGUGCUUUGUUUUGAGCCAGCCCACGGAAUCGAUAGCUCCAAGUGGUCCAUUUGUGGUAAGCAGAACUGGCGAUGCGGGAUGACGCGGAAGCCGGGUUACGGGUCCCAACUGCGCGCUAACCAAGAACCCACAAAGGUUGUUUGUCGAUUAAGACAGCAGGAGGGUGGUCGUGGAAGUCGAAGUCCGCUAGGGAGUGUGUAGCAACUCACCUGCCGAAUCAACUAGCCCGAAAAUGGAUGGCGCUGGAGCGCGCGACCUAUACCCGGCGGUCGGGGCAAGAGCGAGGCGUGGAUGAGUAGGAGGGCGCGGCGGUCGCUGCAAAACCUAGGGCGCGAGCCCCGGCGGAGCGGCCGGCGGUGCAGAUUUUGGUUGUAAGAGCAAAUAUUCAAAUGAGAACUUUGAAGGCCGAAGAGGGGAAAGGGUCCAUGUGAAUGGCACUUGCACAUGGUUUAGUCAAUCCUAAGAGUCAGGGGAAACCCAUCUGAUAGCCCUUAUGCGCGAACUUCGAAAGGGGAACCGGUUAAAAUUCCAGAACCGGGACGUGGUGGUUGACGGAAACGUUAGGGAGUGCGGAGACGUCGGCGGGGAUUACGGAAAGAGUUAUCUUUUCUGUUUAACAGCCUGCCACCCCUGGAAACGGCUCAGACGGAGGUAGGGUCCAGCGGCUGGAAGAGCACAGCACGUCGCGUGGUGUCCGGUGCAUUCCUGGCGGCCCUUGAAAAUUCGGAGAACCGAGUGCCGCUCACGCCCGGUCGUACUCAUACCCGCACCAGGUCUCCAAGGUGAACAGCCUCUGGUCGAUGUAACAAUGUAGGCAAGGGAAGUCGCAAAAUGGAUCCGUAACUUCGGGAAAAUGAUUGGCUCUGAUGGCUGGGCUCGGGGGUCCAGUUCCGAACCCGUCGACUGUUGGCGGGCUGCUUGAGCUGCUAACGAGGCGAGAGCGGACCGCCUCUUGUCGGCCGGGGGACGUACUGUGAACGGCUCUUUCGGGAUGUUUCCCCGGGCGUCGAAGCGCCAACUCAGAACUGGUACGAACAAGGGAUACGCAACUGUUUAAUUAUAACAAAGCAUUGCGAUGGUCCCUGAGGAUGCUAACGCAAUGUGAAUUCUGCCCAGUGCUCUGAAUGGCAAAGUGAAGAAAUUCAACCAAGCGAGGGUACACGGCGGGAGUAACUAUGAAUCUCUUAAGGUAGACAAAUGACUCGUCAUCUAAUAAGUGACACGCAUGAAUAGAUUAACAAGAUUGCCACUGUCGCUGUCUACUAUCCAGCGAAACCACAGCCAAGUGAACGGGCUUGGCAGAAUUAGCGGGGAAAGAAGACCCGUUUGAGCUUGACUCUAGUCCGACUUUGUGAAAUGGCUUGAGAGGUGUAGAAUAAAUGGGAGCUCCGGCGCAAGUGAAAUACCACAACUUUUAACGUUCUGUUAUUGUGCUUACUCCGUGAAUCGGAGGCGGGGUAACAACGCCUUCUUUUAGACCCAAGACUCGCUUCGGCGGCGCGAUCCGGCGGGAGACAUUGUCAGGUGGGGAGUUUGCCUGGGGCGGCACAUCUGUAAAAAGAUAACGCAGGUGUCCCAAGACGAGCUCAACGAGAACAAAAAUCUCAUGUGGAACAAAAGUGUAAAAGCUCGUUUGAUUAUGAUUUUCAGUACGAAUACGAACCGUGAAAGCGUGGCCUAUCGAUCCUUUAGACCUUCGUAAUUUGAAGCUAGAGGUGUCAAAAAGUUACCACAGGGAUAACUGGCUUGUGGCAGCCAAGGCUUCAUAGCGACGUUGCUUUUUUAUCCUUCGAUGUCGGGUCUUCCUAUCAUGGUGAAGCAGAAGUCACCAAGUGUUGGAUUGUUCACCCAACAAUAAGGAACGUGAGCUGGGUUUAGAGCGUCGUGCGACAGGUUAGUUUUAACCUACUCAUGCCCGCGUCGCAAUAGAAAUUCAACCUAGUACGAGAAGAACCGUUGAUUCGCACAAUUGGUCAUCGCGCUUGGUUGAAAAGCCAGUGGCACGAAGCUACCGUGCGCUGAAUUAUGACUGAACUCCUCUAAUUCAGAAUCCGGUCUAGAAGCGACGCAUGCGCCCGCCCCCCGAUUGCCCACCCUCAGUAGGAGCUUCGGCUCCCAAGUGCACGUGUCGUUGGCUAAUUCCGUUCGGUGGAAGCGCCUUUCGGACCGCCUUGAAUUUUAAUUACCACCGAGUGGCUGUUAGAAUCCUUUGCAGACGCAUUAAAUACGCGACGGGGUAUUGUAAGUGGCAGAGUGGCCUUGCUGCAACGAUCCACUGAGAUUCAGCCUUUUGUCGCUAAGAUUCGACGCUCCCUCUUUC